rnacentral:rRNA from 1 species
UAGGGAAUCUUCCACAAUGGACGCAAGUCUGAUGGAGCAACGCCGCGUGAGUGAAGAAGGUUUUCGGACCGUAAAGCUCUGUUGUUGGUGAAGAAGGAUAGAGGUAGUAACUGGCCUUUAUUUGACGGUAAUCAACCAGAAAGUCACGGCUAACUACGUGCCAGCAGCCGCGGUAAUACGUAGGUGGCAAGCGUUGUCCGGAUUUAUUGGGCGUAAAGCGAGCGCAGGCGGAAGAAUAAGUCUGAUGUGAAAGCCCUCGGCUUAACCGAGGAAUUGCAUCGGAAACUGUUUUCUUGAGUGCAGAAGAGGAGAGUAGAACUCCAUGUGUAGCGGUGGAAUGCGUAGAUAUAUGGAAGAAUACCAGUGGCGAAGGCGGCUCUCUGGUCUGCAACUGACGCUGAGGCUCGAAAGCAUGGGUAGCGAACAGGAUUAGAUACCCUGAUAGUCCAUGCCGUAAACGAUGAGUGCUAAGUGUUGGGAGGCUUCCGCCUCUCAGUGCUGCAGCUAACGCAUUAAGCACUCCGCCUGGGGGAGUACGACCGCAAGGUUGAAAC